GAUGAACGCUAGCUACAGGCUUAACACAUGCAAGUCGAGGGGAAACGACAUCGAAAGCUUGCUUUUGAUGGGCGUCGACCGGCGCACGGGUGAGUAACGCGUAUCCAACCUGCCCACCACUUGGGGAUAACCUUGCGAAAGUAAGACUAAUACCCGAUGAUAUCUCUAGACGACAUCUGAAAGGGAUUAAAGAUUUAUCGGUGAUGGAUGGGGAUGCGUCUGAUUAGCUUGUUGGCGGGGUAACGGCCCACCAAGGCAACGAUCAGUAGGGGGUUCUGAGAGGAAGGUCCCCCACAUUGGAACUGAGACACGGUCCAAACUCCUACGGGAGGCAGCAGUGAGGAAUAUUGGUCAAUGGGCGAGAGCCUGAACCAGCCAAGUAGCGUGCAGGACGACGGCCCUAUGGGUUGUAAACUGCUUUUAUAAGGG
rnacentral:rRNA from 1 species